UACAGAGGUCCCAAGCGUUGUUCGGAUUCACUGGGCGUAAAGGGUGCGUAGGUGGUUAGGUAAGUCCGAUGUGAAAUCUCCAGGCUCAACCUGGAAAUGGCAUUGGAUACUAUUUAGCUUGAGGAGUGGAGGGGGGACUGGAAUUCUCGGUGUAGCAGUGAAAUGCGUAGAUAUCGAGAGGAACACCAGUGGCGAAGGCGAGUCCCUGGACAUUUCCUGACACUGAGGCAGCGAAAGCUAGGGGAGCAAACAGG
rnacentral:rRNA from 1 species